UACGGGGGGGGCAAGCGUUGUUCGGAAUUACUGGGCGUAAAGGGCUCGUAGGCGGCCAACUAAGUCAGACGUGAAAUCCCCAGGCUCAACCUGGGGACUGCGUCUGAUACUGGAUGGCUUGAAUCCGGGAGAGGGAUGCAGAAUUCCAGGUGUAGCGGUGAAAUGCGUAGAUAUCUGGAGGAAUACCGGUGGCGAAGGCGGCAUCCUGGACCGGCAUUGACGCUGAGGAGCGAAGGCCAGGGGAGCAAACGGG
rnacentral:rRNA from 1 species